rnacentral:rRNA from 1 species
GCUCCCUGAUGUUAGCGGCGGACGGGUGAGUAACACGUGGGUAACCUGCCUGUAAGACUGGGAUAACUCCGGGAAACCGGGGCUAAUACCGGAUGGUUGUUUGAACCGCAUGGUUCAAACAUAAAAGGUGGCUUCGGCUACCACUUACAGAUGGACCCGCGGCGCAUUAGCUAGUUGGUGAGGUAACGGCUCACCAAGGCAACGAUGCAUAGCCGACCUGAGAGGGUGAUCGGCCACACUGGGACUGAGACACGGCCCAGACUCCUACGGGAGGCAGCAGUAGGGAAUCUUCCGCAAUGGACGAAAGUCUGACGGAGCAACGCCGCGUGAGUGAUGAAGGUUUUCGGAUCGUAAAGCUCUGUUGUUGGGGAAGAACAAGUACCGUUCGAAUAGGGCGGUACCUUGACGGUACCUAACCAGAAAGCCACGGCUAACUACGUGCCAGCAGCCGCGGUAAUACGUAGGUGGCAAGCGUUGUCCGGAAUUAUUGGGCGUAAAGGGCUCGCAGGCGGUUUCUUAAGUCUGAUGUGAAAGCCCCCGGCUCAACCGGGGAGGGUCAUUGGAAACUGGGGAACUUGAGUGCAGAAGAGGAGAGUGGAAUUCCACGUGUAGCGGUGAAAUGCGUAGAGAUGUGGAGGAACACCAGUGGCGAAGGCGACUCUCUGGUCUGUAACUGACGCUGAGGAGCGAAAGCGUGGGGAGCGAACAGGAUUAGAUACCCUGGUAGUCCACGCCGUAAACGAUGAGUGCUAAGUGUUAGGGGGUUUCCGCCCCUUAGUGCUGCAGCUAACGCAUUAAGCA